rnacentral:lncRNA from 10 species
UGUAGUUCUGGGGGCUGUGUGUCUGGAGUGGAGUUUCUGGGUCACGGGAUAUGCAUGUUUCACCUUAGUGGAUAUUGUCCGAUGGUUUUCAGAGUUGCUGUACCCAUGUUUGCUCCAGGAGCUGUCUACGAGAGCUGCCGUGGAUACCUGGAAAAGUCAGUCUCAUUUCAGCUGGUGUGUGAGUGUGACAUUGCAGGGUGGCUUGUACUGACCCUUCCCUGACAGCUAGGGAGGGUGGACACCAGUUCAUCUGCCUACUAGCCUAGGGUCCGAUUUGCUAGUGCCUCCGGUAGGGCGCUAGUUUUCCUUAUAACCACCUCCUGGGCUGCUAGGCCACCUCAGUUCCUGGUGGCCAGGUGGAGACCAUCAGGAAGGGGCAGUGGCCUCGCGAGCAGCACCUGGUCUGUGGUUAUGUGCCAGGAAGUGUGUUUAAAUGACCCACUCCAGAACUAGCCGAAGAGGACCUGCGGGAAACUUUCACAUCAUGUCUGUCAGGGAUCCCUUUUGUUUUGACAAUGACUCAGUAAUUUUAGGUGAUGCGUUUUAAGUACUGUAUCUUUUUUGGUAAUAGACUGAUUGUGGUACUUGGGUAUUGACAGGGUUUUUUCAGGCUGGUAAUGUUAUCUUUAUGCUUUUCAAGAGCUUCCUCCCGCUGCUUUCUGGA